rnacentral:lncRNA from 1 species
AUAAAUAGUAGCUUUAUUAUGAACAGUGUUUUUAAAGGGGGCCAAAAGUCACUCAUAGCUUCUGCUAUUUGUUACCAAUCAACAACUUUUACCCAGCACCCAUCCUGCCUGUGCAUUCCUUAUGAUGAAACCUCACUAUCUUAAAUGGUCCAUUUCAUCUUCCCAAGCUAAAAGCAAAACUCCCUAUUUUUUCCCAUUUUCCUUCCUUCCUUCCUUCUUUUUUUUUCUUUAUUUUCUGUUUUUUUUUAAUGGUUUCUAUCCAAAGUGGUCAUCCAAAUAUGAAACAACACUUCAUGGGAAAGCCUUCCAAAUUGUUUAAGACAAAUAAUAGAUGCCAUGGGUGAAUUCUUGUGUUGGAGCUAAACAGGACCUGUCCCUUUGGCCUCAGAUAAUGGACUUUCACAAUCUUUCACCAUCUCUUACUCUUGGGACUGCCUCUGACCUCUUAGCAAAACACCUUUGUUCAACGUACUGUUGUUCAUACAGACUGCACUUUUGUACACAUUUUUAAUGGGCCCUACAUCUGGAUACACCUUGGGUUGCCUGCUGACUACAACUCACAGAUCUUUUGUACAUUUGACAUUAUGUAUACUAUCUAUCAUAUUAUUUAGUAUUAUAGUCACAUAGUUAUACUAUUUGCUUAUAACUUUGGGGGUCCUUGUUUUGUCUUUCCAUGUGUUUCUUCCUGUAAGAAGACAGAAUUAGACUAAAUGACCAAUGAAGCCCCUUUUUAGUAAUUUAUUUUCAAAUAACUUCAAAUUUACCAAAGUGGGGGGAAAUAGUACAAAUAAAUGCUAUUAUGUCCU